rnacentral:rRNA from 1 species
AUGAACGCUGGCGGCGUGCCUAAUACAUGCAAGUCGAGCGGUAACACUUCGGGUGACGAGCGGCGGACGGCUGAGUAACGCGUAGGAACGUACCCCAAACUGAGGGAUAAGCACCGGAAACGGUGUCUAAUACCGCAUGUGCUCUUCGGAGUAAAGCUCUUGAGCGGUUUGGGAACGGCCUGCGUAUGAUUAGCUUGUUGGUGAGGUAAUGGCUCACCAAGGCGACGAUCAUUAGCUGGUCUGAGAGGAUGAUCAGCCAGACUGGGACUGAGACACGGCCCAGACUCCUACGGGAGGCAGCAGUAGGGAAUUUUCCACAAUGGGCGCAAGCCUGAUGGAGCAACGCCGCGUGCAGGAUGAAGGCCUUCGGGUCGUAAACUGCUUUUGUUUGUGAAGAUUAUGACGGUAACAAGCGAAUAAGGGUCUGCUAACUACGU